UACGGGGGGUGCAAGCGUUAAUCGGAAUGACUGGGCGUAAAGGGUGCGUAGGUUGUUGAGUAAGUUGUCUGUGAAAGCCCCGGGCUUAACCUGGGAAGGUCAGAUAAAACUGCUUGACUCGAGUAUGGGAGAGGGUAGUGGAAUUUCCGGUGUAGCGGUGAAAUGCGUAGAGAUCGGGAAGGAACACCAGUGGCGAAGGCGACUACCUGGCCCAAUACUGACACUGAGGCACGAAAGCGUGGGGAGCAAACAGGG
rnacentral:rRNA from 1 species